rnacentral:rRNA from 1 species
AUUGAACGCUGGCGGCAUGGCUAAAACAUGCAAGUCGUGGGAGAAGCCCCUUCGGGGGUGGACACCGGCGAAAGGGCGAGGAAUACAUUGGAACAUGCCCCGAGGUGGAGGAUAGCUGUGGGAAACUGCAGGUAAUACUCCAUAAGCUCUUAGGAGGAAAGCUCCGGCGCCUUGGGAGUGGCCAAUGUCCUAUCAGGUUGUUGGUGAGGUAAUGGCCUACCAAGACUACGAUCUAUAGCUGGUCUGAGAGGAUGAUCAGCCACACUGGGACUGAGACACGGCCCAG